UGUGAGCCCUCUCUGGCUAUCAGGGCUCGCUGUUUCUAGGGUGUGAGCCCUCUCUGGCCACCAGGAGUUAUCUGAUACCCAGGUACAGCUCAAGAUGGCAGGAAAAAAAGCACAUGGGCAUCAGCAGCAAAGGCCAGGGCAAUGGAAGCCUAAACGAUAGCCUGGAAACAUAUCUUAAGAUACCUGCACAAAUUUCCUGCAGAGGAGGGUUUUUUUUAGGGGGGUGGGGAUGGAGAGCAGUAGGGAAGGCAUAACCAAGGAAAGAAACUUUCUAGCUUUUCAAUUCUACUAUCUUCUAAAGUCUUAUCCUGUCUUCACACCUUUUGUUCACAUUGUACUCAGUGUUCAGAAAGUGUCUCCCCUUAUUUUACUCAUCAUAUUGCUGUUAUUCAUUAAGUAGGAUUUACCAAAUGUUACUACGUGCCAGGUACAAUGUCAAACAAAGGGUGUAGAGUGGAGACAGCAACAGAUAUUGUCUUUGCCCUCAACAAUCUUAAAAUAUAGCGGAGGAAGGCAGAUAAAAUACAAACAAGUAACAAACUACAUAAUUAAAAAUUGAGGCCAGGCACAGUGAGUUCUUAAUUUGAAUCUUGGCUCUGCCAUAGGACAGACUUGCUGUUAACACCUGCGAACCUCCGGUUACUUGUAAAGUGGGGAUGUGAACUCCUACUACCAUGCAGUGGUGCUGAGGUUUAAGUAAGACUGUUUAUGAAGUUCCUGGAAUGUGAAGGGGGCAGUUUCUGUUCUGCCUUAGAAGAAAGCACUGCUGUCUGGACAGCUUCUGGUCCACAUGCCCUGUGUCUCACUGUUUACUGCAGAGGGAGGCAUGGCCUGACCUGAGGUUUGCUGGUGGACAGGAGAAGCGGUGAGAAGUGGUGAGAUUGAGGGGCUACUGUGGACAAAGAGGCAACAGGGAUGAGUGACUGGACAUGAGGUGUGAGGGAAUGCUGAAGCUACGCACCGAGAACAGAAAGGUGGGUGGGCAUCAACAGUUCUGUUUUAGACAUGUGAGGGCCUAAAACAGACCCAUGGGCAAGGUGUACGUGCACGCCCUUCUAGUAGGGAUUUCAAGAAGGCAACUGGCCAUGUUUCAAGAAGGCAACACACACGUCAGUAUUUGGGUGAGGGAAAGACCAGGGCAGGGAAUAUCCUCUCCGCCACUGUGUGGCUGUCAACUGCUAUUAAUCAACCCAGCUACACAUCUAUUUUUCUCAGAGCCAGGCAUAACUAAAGAACUUACCAUAUUCAUUGCUGUCACAAAUAAGAAAGUUAAAGAUAAACCAAAAGUGUUGUAUGAUUCAAGAAAAA
rnacentral:lncRNA from 10 species